ensembl:lncRNA
CCCAAUUUCACCAAAAAAAUGCCUCCAAACACCUCGUGACCCCAAUUCCCCUCAUUUUUAUCCCAAUACCACCUCAGAAUCCCAAUUCCCCUCACUUUCACCCCCAAAACCACCUCAGAAUCCCAAUUCCCCCCAGUUUUAUCCCAAAACCACCUCAUGACCCCAAUUCCCCUCAGUUUUUAUCCCCAAACCACCUCAGUAUCCCAAUUCCCCUCAGUUUUAUCCCAAAACCACCUCAGAAUUCCAAUUCCCCUCAUUUUAACCCAAAACCACCUCAGAAUCCCCAAUUCCCCCCAGUUGUAUCCCAAAACCACCUCAGAAUUCCAAUUCCCCUCAGUUUUAUCCCAAAACCACCUCAGAAUUCCAAUUCCCCUCAGUUUUAUCCCAAAACCACCUCAGAAUCCCAAUUCCCCUCAGUUUUUAUCCCCAAACCACCUCAGGAUCCCAAUUCCCCUCAGUUUUUAUGCCCAAAACCACCUCACGACCCCAAUUCCCCUCAGUUUUUAUGCCCAAAACCACCUCACGACCCCAAUUCCCCUCAGUUUUAUCCCAAAACCACCUCAGAAUUCCAAUUCCCCUCAG